rnacentral:tRNA from 12 species
CGGGGCGUAGCGCAGCCUGGUAGCGCAUCUGCUUUGGGAGCAGAGGGUCGGAGGUUCGAAUCCUCUCGCCCCGACCA